ensembl:lncRNA
CUCUUAUGUUCUGGAGGCCAGAAGUUCAAAGUCAAGUACCCGGCACCAGGCUGUUGGCUCCACAGGCGCGAAGGCAGGCUUGACUCGCAAGCCCCCCCCACCCCGCCCCGCCCCGCCCCGCCCCGGAGAGCUGCUGAACGAAUGCAAAAGCGGGCCAGAUGGACGGAUCGACAGGAAGGGCCGGGAAGAAUGACUUUCUUGCUCCCAGGGCCUAGGUUUCCUUAUUGGAGAUGGCAGACCGCUGCCCGCAGUUAUGGCUGGGCCACCACCUUCUCCCCCGCCUGUCCCCAACCCGCAAUCCGGGCCAAUGGAAAUGCUCCCUGACCCUGGCCGGUGUGCUCUUAUCCUCUGGGCUCCCGAAGCUGAGGAAGUGACUCGUGAAAGGAGGCCGGCCUAACGGCUCCAUUUGGGCGAGGUUUUCUCACAAAGCUUAUUCCCGUCACAUCCCAGGGCAGGCCAGCCGCCUCAGGGAUGCGGGCGCCAGGCCUUUGUGAGCUCACGACUUUCUCAUGGGCCGCCCCCGGAGGCGGCCUGUGGUCACCCUCACUUUCGGUGGAAGCACCCGGGGUUCAGAGAGGCCAAGCCACUCGCCCAAGGUCACAAAGCUUCGCAGAAGCAGAGCGGGAAUGGCGAUGCGGGGGGGUCUCCGGAGGCCCUCUCCCAGCGGCUUUUCGAAGACACCCACUACCUCCCUAUUGUGACGCUCAGGAAUAAAACAGGAAGGCCGGACGCCCGGCUUUCACCUAAGACAAUGCUCCACGCAAAUCUGCGCGAACAAAAGCAACCAUAAAUCCGCCUCGGGUUUUCGGCCCACCCGGCCCCCGCCGGCCAAUUGACUCCGUCGGCCGCCGCGGGGCGGGCCAGGGAGGUUCCAACAUGAUCGACAGCCCCGGGGAGGCGUGGCCGCGGCAGAGGCGCAUUGGAUUGGGGAUCCGGAACAAUCGCAGGCCGAGAAGGCGCAGCGCGGACCAAUCAGAGGGAGGGGCGGGCUCGGCCGCCCGGCUUUCGUGAAAGGCCGCCUCCCCGCCCACUUGCGCCUCGUCGCGGCGCCCGUCAGCUGCGAACGCGGCGCUCGGCCCGGAUUCGUCCGCGGCGCUGGAAGCAGAGGCGCGAGGCCGCGGCGAGUGCCGGCACAGAUCCCUCCGCCGCCCGCUCCCGAGCCCUCUCCAAGCGCCUCUCCCGAGCUGCAGCGGCCUCUGUCCCGGGUAACGGCCGUCGGCCCAGUGCGGCGGCGCGGCGGCAUGGCCCGGGCGGCUCCGUCGGGGGGCGGCCCGCAGUGACAGACCCUGCGGCGCGGGGGGAAAUGGGGGCGGCCGCCUCCCGGGCGACGACGACGACGACGACGAGGAGCAGCCGCCGCCGCCGCCGCGCACCGGCCGCCGCCGGGGACGGGCGCGGGCCAGGAUCCCGCCCGUGAGCGGGGGGCCCGAGGCCGAUCGCCGCC